AAGAGUUAAAAAAAGAAAAGGACAGUGUAGAAAAAGUUCCUGUCUUCUCUGUGUUGUCCAUUCUUAAACACAUACAAUUUAAAGAAAUCCAGAAAGGGUAAGAAAUACUGAUGUAGUUUUCCCCUUGGCCUCUUCCCUUGAACCCCUCCUGUGAUCUUGCAGAUCUCUGCUGGCUGGGAUCCGAGGCACAUCUCUUUCCUCCCAGCUUCCCUGUCGGCGGGGAAGGCAGAGUUCAAGGCCCUCCACUGGAGUCACUGUGUUGUAUUUUUUUUUAGGUGCAGUGGAGGCACCUGGAUUCCACUCAGAAGGAGCAAUACUGGGAUCUCAUGCUGGAGACCUAUGGGAAAAUGGUCUCAGGAGGCAUUUCCAGUUCUAAGCCUGAUCCGACUAAUUUAACAGAGUAUGGGGAUGAGCUGGCAGGACGGCACUUUCAUGUCAGUGAGAAAAUCCCGAGGCCCACCUGCAUAGGGCUAUUGACACACAUACUUAAUCAUGGAAGAAGGACCACACAUUGGAUCUGCUGCCGUCAGUCUUGUCUGCUGUGAUGUGACAGUUUCUUUCUCAGAGAGAGUAAAGAUCAGAACAGAU